AGCGUACACGGUGGAUGCCCUGGCAGUCAGAGGCGAUGAAGGACGUGCUAAUCUGCGAUAAGCGUCGGUAAGGUGAUAUGAACCGUUAUAACCGGCGAUUUCCGAAUGGGGAAACCCAGUGUGUUUCGACACACUAUCAUUAACUGAAUCCAUAGGUUAAUGAGGCGAACCGGGGGAACUGAAACAUCUAAGUACCCCGAGGAAAAGAAAUCAACCGAGAUUCCCCCAGUAGCGGCGAGCGAACGGGGAGCAGCCCAGAGCCUGAAUCAGUGUGUGUGUUAGUGGAAGCGUCUGGAAAGGCGCGCGAUACAGGGUGACAGCCCCGUACACAAAAAUGCACAUGCUGUGAGCUCGAUGAGUAGGGCGGGACACGUGGUAUCCUGUCUGAAUAUGGGGGGACCAUCCUCCAAGGCUAAAUACUCCUGACUGACCGAUAGUGAACCAGUACCGUGAGGGAAAGGCGAAAAGAACCCCGGCGAGGGGAGUGAAAAAGAACCUGAAACCGUGUACGUACAAGCAGUGGGAGCACGCUUAGGCGUGUGACUGCGUACCUUUUGUAUAAUGGGUCAGCGACUUAUAUUCUGUAGCAAGGUUAACCGAAUAGGGGAGCCGAAGGGAAACCGAGUCUUAACUGGGCGUUAAGUUGCAGGGUAUAGACCCGAAACCCGGUGAUCUAGCCAUGGGCAGGUUGAAGGUUGGGUAACACUAACUGGAGGACCGAACCGACUAAUGUUGAAAAAUUAGCGGAUGACUUGUGGCUGGGGGUGAAAGGCCAAUCAAACCGGGAGAUAGCUGGUUCUCCCCGAAAGCUAUUUAGGUAGCGCCUCGUGAAUUCAUCUCCGGGGGUAGAGCACUGUUUCGGCAAGGGGGUCAUCCCGACUUACCAACCCGAUGCAAACUGCGAAUACCGGAGAAUGUUAUCACGGGAGACACACGGCGGGUGCUAACGUCCGUCGUGAAGAGGGAAACAACCCAGACCGCCAGCUAAGGUCCCAAAGUCAUGGUUAAGUGGGAAACGAUGUGGGAAGGCCCAGACAGCCAGGAUGUUGGCUUAGAAGCAGCCAUCAUUUAAAGAAAGCGUAAUAGCUCACUGGUCGAGUCGGCCUGCGCGGAAGAUGUAACGGGGCUAAACCAUGCACCGAAGCUGCGGCAGCGACGCUGAUGCGUUGUUGGGUAGGGGAGCGUUCUGUAAGCCUGCGAAGGUGUGCUGUGAGGCAUGCUGGAGGUAUCAGAAGUGCGAAUGCUGACAUAAGUAACGAUAAAGCGGGUGAAAAGCCCGCUCGCCGGAAGACCAAGGGUUCCUGUCCAACGUUAAUCGGGGCAGGGUGAGUCGACCCCUAAGGCGAGGCCGAAAGGCGUAGUCGAUGGGAAACAGGUUAAUAUUCCUGUACUUGGUGUUACUGCGAAGGGGGGACGGAGAAGGCUAUGUUGGCCGGGCGACGGUUGUCCCGGUUUAAGCGUGUAGGCUGGUUUUCCAGGCAAAUCCGGAAAAUCAAGGCUGAGGCGUGAUGACGAGGCACUACGGUGCUGAAGCAACAAAUGCCCUGCUUCCAGGAAAAGCCUCUAAGCAUCAGGUAACAUCAAAUCGUACCCCAAACCGACACAGGUGGUCAGGUAGAGAAUACCAAGGCGCUUGAGAGAACUCGGGUGAAGGAACUAGGCAAAAUGGUGCCGUAACUUCGGGAGAAGGCACGCUGAUAUGUAGGUGAAGUCCCUCGCGGAUGGAGCUGAAAUCAGUCGAAGAUACCAGCUGGCUGCAACUGUUUAUUAAAAACACAGCACUGUGCAAACACGAAAGUGGACGUAUACGGUGUGACGCCUGCCCGGUGCCGGAAGGUUAAUUGAUGGGGUCAGCGCAAGCGAAGCUCUUGAUCGAAGCCCCGGUAAACGGCGGCCGUAACUAUAACGGUCCUAAGGUAGCGAAAUUCCUUGUCGGGUAAGUUCCGACCUGCACGAAUGGCGUAAUGAUGGCCAGGCUGUCUCCACCCGAGACUCAGUGAAAUUGAACUCGCUGUGAAGAUGCAGUGUACCCGCGGCAAGACGGAAAGACCCCGUGAACCUUUACUAUAGCUUGACACUGAACAUUGAGCCUUGAUGUGUAGGAUAGGUGGGAGGCUUUGAAGUGUGGACGCCAGUCUGCAUGGAGCCGACCUUGAAAUACCACCCUUUAAUGUUUGAUGUUCUAACGUUGACCCGUGAUCCGGGUUGCGGACAGUGUCUGGUGGGUAGUUUGACUGGGGCGGUCUCCUCCUAAAGAGUAACGGAGGAGCACGAAGGUUGGCUAAUCCUGGUCGGACAUCAGGAGGUUAGUGCAAUGGCAUAAGCCAGCUUGACUGCGAGCGUGACGGCGCGAGCAGGUGCGAAAGCAGGUCAUAGUGAUCCGGUGGUUCUGAAUGGAAGGGCCAUCGCUCAACGGAUAAAAGGUACUCCGGGGAUAACAGGCUGAUACCGCCCAAGAGUUCAUAUCGACGGCGGUGUUUGGCACCUCGAUGUCGGCUCAUCACAUCCUGGGGCUGAAGUAGGUCCCAAGGGUAUGGCUGUUCGCCAUUUAAAGUGGUACGCGAGCUGGGUUUAGAACGUCGUGAGACAGUUCGGUCCCUAUCUGCCGUGGGCGCUGGAGAACUGAGGGGGGCUGCUCCUAGUACGAGAGGACCGGAGUGGACGCAUCACUGGUGUUCGGGUUGUCAUGCCAAUGGCACUGCCCGGUAGCUAAAUGCGGAAGAGAUAAGUGCUGAAAGCAUCUAAGCACGAAACUUGCCCCGAGAUGAGUUCUCCCUGACUCCUUGA
rnacentral:rRNA from 1 species